UACACUCUAAAAUGCUAUUUGGAAAUUAUAUUUAAGUAUUAGCAAUUGCAGGCACUUAAUUAUUAUUAUUCAUUUAUUUAUUUUUGUAUGGGCUCUUUUCAAAUCCCCGGUUUCCUUUCUUUUAUCUUCUUUCGACUCGUGUAUUUGUUGAAUCAUUUCUUGGGGUUAUCAGAUAUUUCUCAUGCUCUAACAAAAUUCUAUUGCAUUUUUUGUCGAUAGGUCUGCAGACUUCAGAUGCCCAGUUCCUACUGCGGAGGAAAUCUCUAUUGAAUUCUUCUUUUUUGCUUUUGUUACUAUGGGAGGUGGUUUAUGUUGAAGGUUCCUUGUCUCUUUUUAGGUCUGUUUGAUUUCUCUAUGCUUAUCCCUCUGGUCUGAUCCCUCUGCUCCCAUCCUUGUCUCUUUUCAAUAAAGAAAAGAAAGAAAAAAAAUGAAAAAUGCUACUUUACAAAUCUUACCAUCUAAAUUAAUUCUUGCCUAAUAAGCAAACGAGUAGAUGUUUCUCACAGCAAUAAUUCAGAUCCAAACUUCAAGAGCUAUUCUAGAAAAUCCAGACAACCUUUUGUUUUUAUACUGGACAUAAAGAGAAAAGGGGGAGAAAAAGGAAAAGUUCUUGGUUUCUUAUGUCUUUAUGAUCUUGGAACUGGGUUUGGCCAAGAUUUCAGAGUAUUUUGGUAGAUUUCUUCUUUCCUUUUGUGGUUCCCUUCCUAGUUCCUUUCCCUCUGGAUGAAACUCUUUGAAGCAAAUCAAAACUAGGCUUGAUGACUACAGAUGAGGAAGGUCCUAGCUCCUUGUGGAGUAGGGAGCAGGAGAAAGCUUUUGAGAAUGCUUUGGCAACCCAUCCUGAGGAUUCUAUGGAUCGAUGGGAGAAGAUUGCAGCAUCUGUACCAGGGAAAACUCCUGAUGAGGUCAAACAUCAUUAUGAACUCUUAGUUGAAGACAUUAAUGGGAUUGAGUCUGGCCGUGUGCCUUUGCCUUGCUAUGUUUCUUCUUCAGAGGGUUCGAUGGACCAUUCAAAUGAUUCUGGGGCUGCUAAAAAGGGCAGUAAUUUUGGCAACUUCCAGAGUGACUCUAGUCAUGGAGGGAAGUCAUUGAGGUCAGAUCAAGAACGUCGAAAGGGGAUAGCUUGGACAGAAGAUGAGCACAGCUUUGGUGAACUCCUGUUUCUUGAGUUGCAUAAAGCUUGGACUUGCUUUAUGAAUCCCUGCUUUGGAAUCCUGCUGCUCCAUGGGCUGUUUCUUCUUGGAUUGGACAAAUAUGGGAAGGGAGAUUGGAGGAGUAUAUCAAGAAAUUUUGUGGUGUCCAGGACGCCUACGCAGGUGGCAAGUCAUGCACAGAAGUAUUUCAUCCGAUUGAACUCAAUGAACAAAGAUAGGAGACGAGCAAGCAUCCAUGAUAUCACUAGUGUGGGAAAUGGAGACAUAUCAGCUACCCAAGGGCCGAUCACAGGUCAAACUAAUGCACCCAGUGCAGGAGCAUCUUCUGGUAAAUCCAACAAACAACCACCUCAGCCCCCACCUGGUGCUCCUGGAGUUGGUGUGUAUGGCACUACUACCAUAGGCCAACCAAUUGGAGGUCCUCUUGUUUCAGCUGUUGGAACUCCGGUGAACCUUCCUGCCCCAGCACACAUGGCAUAUGGUGUGAGACCUCCAGUUCCUGGAUCUGUAGUUCCUGGUGCCCCAGUAAGCAUGGCUCCAAUGACAUAUCCAAUGCCGCAUGCAUCUGCUCACAGGUGAUCUGGUUAUUGAACAUUCAGUGUACAAAAGAUAGAGUAGAUUGCUGGUUUUGAGUUUGCCCAACUUCAGGCAGAAUAAGAUGGCCAAGGUGCAAUCACAGGUUAUCUAAUGCCAUUUGUGACAUUCUCAUGCAAGAAGCUUCCUUUUCGAGUCGUCGAUCAGAGCUGAUGGGCGAAGCCCUAGCUUAUUGACCCUAUAGAAAAAAUCAAUGACAGUUUGUCUCUUGCCAUCAUGAAGAAAACCUGAAACCCCCGCAGAUACAAGUUUCACACUCAGUGAAGCAACAAACUGCCAAUGUGGUGUUUCGGAAACCAAAACGGUCUCAACGAUCAUUAGCGUUUCAAGCAGUUCCGAUGGUGUGGCAUCAGAUCUUGAUGGACAUUUGUGAGCAGAGGUGGAAUGAGCAUGAUAAUUUGGUGGGAGGUCUAGUGGGACUCAGUGACGAGUGCUUUUGCUUGGUUGAAUGGAGGGGAGGACUUGGAGGGAGAAGCAUGGAAGAGCCUAUGAUAACGAACUUUCAUUUUUGGCCAACCGUUUCUUCUGGUGAGAAUUCUGGCUUUUUAUAUAGCUUUCGAGUUUUGGGUCAGGAACUCGGGAUUGAAUUUGAAAGGCGGGUCUCUUUUUUGUCGAGGUUUGGGUUAGGUUGGUUUUGAUAGUUGGACUGUUAAACUGUCGAUGUUGAAGGACCAAAGCAUUUAAGCAAAUGAGUUACUUUGCUGGCUGAAGUCGGUGACAGGGGAUGAAAACUGUGAGAAGAAAGAGAAAAAUAAGAGAGAGACUGGAGGUAGGGUUUAGGAAGAAUGCAUAUGCCGGUGUCGAAGUUAUAAGAAGGGUAAAGAUGUGAUGUAUACAGUACUGCACAUCGGCCCUGUUCAGCUUCUUCAAGGUCACAACACCGAACAGAGCUGGCGGCGAACCUUGUUCUGCUCUCCCAUCUCUUCCCCUCUCUCUCUCUUUCCUUCUUGGUUCAACCUUGCGGCGGUGACUCACCAUGCCUGUCUACUGAUUCGUAAUUUUGAUUUCAGCAUUGUUCAUCAUUGAACACUAUUCAUCCAUCGUCCCCAAUCUCCCAUAAAUCUGAUACUCAGUUCAUUAUCUGAGGCAGUGAGAUUUUCUACCUCCUCGCAAAUCAGAUUUUGGCAUAGUUCAUCAAACACUGUUCAUCCAUCAUCCCCAACCUCUUGCCUGAUACCCUGUUCAUUAUCUCCAUUACAAUGUUGAACCAGAGGUGAUGAGGUUAUCCACCUCACCCAAGCAUUGAACCAGUUCAUCGUGCAGCAAUGGUUGUCACCUGCAACUGGUCCUUCAUCGGCAACACUGUCUUUCAUGUAAUCAACGUCAUUUUUUCCUUCUUCGGCAACAUAGAACUGGUCCUAAAACGUUGAA